GCGAACGCUGGCGGCAGGCCUCACCCAUGCAAGUCGCACGAACUCUUCGGAGUUAGUGGCGGACGGGUGAGUAACACGUGGGAACGUGCCUUUUGGUUCGGAAUAACUCAGGGAAACUUGUGCUAAUACCGAAUGUGCCCUUCGGGGGAAAGAUUUAUCGCCAUUAGAGCGGCCCGCGUCUGAUUAGCUAGUUGGUGAGGUAACGGCUCACCAAGGCGACGAUCAGUAGCUGGUCUGAGAGGAUGACCAGCCACACUGGGACUGAGACACGGCCCAGACUCCUACGGGAGGCAGCAGUGGGGAAUCUUGCGCAAUGGGCGAAAGCCUGACGCAGCCAUGCCGCGUGAAUGAUGAAGGUCUUAGGAUUGUAAAAUUCUUUCACCGGGGACGAUAAUGACGGUACCCGGAGAAGAAGCCCCGGCUAACUUCGUG
rnacentral:rRNA from 1 species